GAUGAACGCUGGCGGCGUGCCUAAUACAUGCAAGUCGAGCGAACGGACGAGAAGCUUGCUUCUCUGAUGUUAGCGGCGGACGGGUGAGUAACACGUGUAUAACCUACCUAUCAGACUGGUAUAACUUCGGGAAACCGUAUCUAAUACCGGAUAAUAUUUUGAACCGCGUGGUUCAAAAGUGAAAGACGGUCUUUCUGUCUCUUCUAGAUGGAUCCGCGCUGCAUUAGAUAGUUGUUAAGGUAACGGCUUACCAAGGCAACGAUGCAUAGCCGACCUGAGAGAGUGAUCGCCGACACUAGAGCGGAGACGCGGUCAAGACUACUAAGGGAGGGAGCAGUAGGGUAUGUUACGCAAUGGGCGAAAACAUGACGGAGCAACGGCGAGUGAGUGAUGACGAUGUUGGGAUCGUAAAACUCUGUUAUUAGGGAAGAACAUAUGUGUAAGUAAAUGUGCACAUAUUGACGGUAACUAAUAAGAAAGCAACGGCUAACUACGUG
rnacentral:rRNA from 1 species